GGGACAUGUCCAGCUGGGGAAAAUAGUGUGUAUGACCCUGGGUUAAUUGUCUGAGCUUAUUGGGGGUGGGGAAUGGUCUUGAUUGCUAAUUGCAUGUUCAGGAACUUUACUGUUUAAAAGCAUUUCCAAUGGCUUUUGAAAUCCCAGCUUAAGGACAAAACAGUAUACAUCAUAUGCUGCCAUCUGCAUUGGGAAGUAGAAUGUAUUUACAUAUGUAGAUAGUGUUUCUGGAACUCCUUUCAGGACCUGGCAAUGCUGCUGUCUCUGGAGAGAAAACUGAAAGGCUGGGAGCCAGAGGAUCAGUGUGUUGGCAGAAAGAGCAACUAGCAAACCAUUCCUGGAAGGCCUUCUGCGUCCCUUAGAAUCCACACGUGGACAUCCCUGGAACCUGGCCCGUAGGUGGCAGUCUCCCUUCAUCCUGGUUCCUGGAUCACAGCCCUCAGGACUAAGAACUGGCUGCUGGGAUGAGCACCUUCCUGCUGACUUCCUCUCCUACCUGCACCACACUAGUCACAUCCUGCAGACAUCCCUGGUACUCCUGCUGUGGGGACUCAGCCUCCCUCACCACUGGCCUCUUAGGACAAACACCACCCUCUGAUCUUAGCUUGAAAUCCUGAAGUCGACCUAAGUUGGGAAUGAAUGUGUUACAUUGGAUACUCCUGCUGGAGGCUUCUCACACAAAUAAAUAUGAGCCAGGAAGCCGUACAGCACCAACAGACUUGUGUUUCACGUCCGGGGUGAAAAGCCAGGCAGACAUUUUGUAUUGCUAUGACUUUCAAAACUCACCAAGAUUACAUUAUUGAUGAUGUCCUUGAAUAAAAAUGAUUGGAUACACUGUAGAGGUUGUUUUAGACAAACAGAAACCAUUGCUUGUCCCUAAGAAUGGAUACGUCUGGCUUCUGAGGAAGGGCAUGGUAGCAACCAUUCAAGAGCUCCACUGUGCUGGUCAAACCUAACUGUACAAAAUGGUCCUAGCUUCACUCUCAGCUCCUGAGAGAAUGUGGCAAAGCCUGUGUGGGAACAGCUUGACCUGCCUUCCACAUUUGGAGCCUCAGUUGGGAAGAGAUGGAAGCUGGGGACAAUUCAAUCAUUCGGAGGCAUCAUCACUUGGGUCUGGUGGUUGCUGGCAACUGUUGGUAGCAACUCUGGCAACUGUGGCUGGACCUAUUAGCAAAUCCCCUGCACCUGGAGAAGCUGUGCUUCCUCCAACCUUAGCAAUCUCUGACUUCUCAUAGUCAGAGCUCCCAAGACCAAGACCAGAGGGCAGCUGCACUGUCGUUUACAAUGUUAUCAGAAUGCAUAGCAUGAUUUUCCCUUAUUCUGUUGGUCAACCAGUCACUAAGACAGGACAGUAAACCAAUAAAGCCCAGACUCAAGGGGGAAUAUACUCUACCUUGUAAUGAUGAAGCAUAAAGAAUUUGAAAAUAUAUUUUAAAUCUAACAUGUCUCUCUGCUCACCACAGGAGUCUAACUGAUAUGUAUGUAUGUAUAUAUGUAUGUAUCAAUGUAUAUAUGUAUCUAUCUACCUAUACCUCUUUCACACACAGACAUUAUUAUCAUAUAUGUAAUCAUAUGUAUAUACAGACAUACAUGGAAUUGUAUGAUUUUACUAGUUAUCAGCAUAUGUCAUUAAAGUGUAGUGAUACUUGUAGCAUUUUGUAAGAAAUAACACCA